rnacentral:rRNA from 1 species
UACGUAGGGUGCGAGCGUUAAUCGGAAUUACUGGGCGUAAAGCGUGCGCAGGCGGUUCGUUAAGUUCGUCGUGAAAGCCCCGGGCUCAACCUGGGAACUGCGAUGGAAACUGGCGGGCUUGAGUGUGGCAGAGGGGGUGGAAUUCCGCGUGUAGCAGUGAAAUGCGUAGAUAUCGUAAGGAAGACCAGUGGCGAAGGCGGGUCUCUGGACAGUUCCUGACGCUGAGGCACGAAGGUCAGGGGGGGAGCAAACGGG